GGGACAGUGGCUGGAUUGUGGUAGAGCAGUAAUGGAAGUGGUUGAGGUAUGGGUCCUGGGUUGGUUAGUUUGUAUUUGUUGUUGUUGUUUGUUUUCUGAGACAAGGUCUUGCUAUGUAGCCCAGGCUGGCCUCGAACUCGAGGUGCUGGGGAUGGACCCAGGGCCUUGUGCAUGUUAAGUGUGUGCUCUACAUGGAGCUGCUGUCCCAGCCAGAAUUACUGUUUUCAGCCAUUAGUCUUGGAUGGUUUGUGACCUGGAAGUAGCCAAUCAGGAUACAGGAUGAAACUAAGUGAAGCGAAGCUCGGAGCAGCUCAGGAAUGCAGCGCCACAAAAGAAGAAAAAAGUAUCUAGAAGUCAUGUUACCUGAUUGAAAUCUCAGGAUUUUCCCCCAGUACUGGGAUGGAAUCCAGGGCCUUGCACAUCCUACAUGCGGAGCAGGUGCUCUACCACCAAGGUACACCUGAGCCCUACGUGCAUGCCUUAGG
ensembl:lncRNA